UACGUAGGGGACAAGCGUUGUCCGGAAUUAUUGGGCGUAAAGAGCUCGUAGGCGGUCUGUCGCGUCUGCUGUGAAAACUCAGGGCUUAACCCUGAGCUUGCAGUGGGUACGGGCAGACUAGAGUGCGGUAGGGGAGACUGGAAUUCCUGGUGUAGCGGUGAAAUGCGCAGAUAUCAGGAGGAACACCGGUGGCGAAGGCGGGUCUCUGGGCCGUAACUGACGCUGAGGAGCGAAAGCAUGGGGAGCGAACAGG
rnacentral:rRNA from 1 species